GCCAGCAUGGCACAGUGGUUUGAGUGUUGGACUAGGACUCUGGAGAACAGGGUUCGAAUCCCAGCUCAGCCA